AGCAGCCGCGGUAAUUCCAGCUCCAAUAGCGUAUAUUAAAGUUGUUGCAGUUAAAAAGCUCGUAGUUGAAUUUCGGGGUUCCACCGUUGGUCGGGCUAUUGUCUGUACUGGCGUGUGGAAUUUCUACCUUCUGGGGAACUAUCAUGUUAUUAAUUUAGCGUGGUAGGAAACCAGGACCUUUACCUUGAAAAAUUAGAGUGUUCAAAGCAGGCUUAUGUCUGAAUACAUUAGCAUGGAAUAAUAAAAUAGGACGGUGGUCCUGUUUUGUUGGUUUCUGAAUCACCGUAAUGAUUAAUAGGGAUAGUUGGGGGCAUUAGUAUUCAAUUGUCAGAGGUGAAAUUCUUGGAUUUAUUGAGGACUAACUACUGCGAAAGCAUUUGCCAAGGAUGUUUUCAUUAAUCAAGAACGAAAGUUAGGGGAUCGAAGACGAUCAGAUACCGUCGUAGUCUUAACCAUAAACUAUGCCGACUAGGGAUCGGACGAUGUUAACUUUUCUUGACUCGUUCGGCGCCUUACGGGA
rnacentral:misc_RNA from 1 species